rnacentral:misc_RNA from 1 species
GCUAAAGAAACUAAAGUUGAGCAAAUAACCAAAAUGUGAAUUAAAGGUUUAACAAUCAGAUGAGAAAGCUUCAGUAGAGAUUCAAGUUUCCAAUAUGGAAUACAAAAUGUAGCUAUCACGUCCCUUGACUCAUGAUAUAUUCAUCUAUCUUGUCUCUACAAGCUCAUCAUUAAGCAUGAGGUUUGAAUAGGAACUACCAAUACUUAU